ACUCGGUUCCAGCCCCAGCGCACCCAUGGGUGACUCUUCCGGCACAACCUCCUACACAGAGACCGUUCCCAAGCACGACACCAACUCCGGGACACACCCGCCUGCCGGGCCGGGACUCUCGUCACUCUUUCCGCCUCACAAAAGCCAUUUCGCCCCGUCCUCGUCAACGACCGAGGACCAGGAGCGUUGCACAAAAAAGGCCACCGCUAGGUGGCGCCCGACAACCGACCGACAUACAUCGCUCGCUCGCCCGCUCGCUCGGCCGCGGCGUCUUCACCUUCUCUGGCGUUACAGCGUCCUCCCACGCUCACGCCCGGAGGCGACACGGGCCCACAACAGGACAGGGAACCCCCCUGUCGGUUCCCCCACCCCACCCCCGAACACGGUGAACGCGGGCCGGCCUGGACAUUCGGGGCGACGAAAACGAAAGUACGACCGAGACCACAGGCAGCUGGGAAAACAGGCGAAUCAAUCGCUCACGGGAAACAAAGAGCGUGUCUGACCGUUCAUCGGUGACAGGACUAGGUGGGGGGCCAGGGGCUUCUGCCACAAUUAGGCCAUGUUUCAUGUACAUUGGUGUUUAGCCUGCACGUAUGUCUAUAAGAGUGUUGGAUGUUGGAUUCCCCUGGACUGGACUUGGAGACAAUUGUGAGCUGCCAUCAACAGAACCCUGAUUAAGGCAUUAGAUUGGCCUUGUUGGAGGAAGUGUGG